rnacentral:tRNA from 1 species
GAGGGUAUAGCUCAGUGGUAGAGUGCAUGCCUAGCAUGCACAAGGUCCUGGUUUCCAUCCCCAGUACCUCCA